UAACUAAUUUUAUUAAGGAGGAAAUUGCAAACCAAAGAGUUGAUUGAUUUGUCCAAAGUCAUGCAGGUUUUAAGUAGAAAAGCAGAGAUUUGAAUGUCAGCUCCAAGUUUAAUGUUCCAAAGAACUAAACCAUCCACUUCUCACCAUUCCUGGAACCAUUUAAGGUUUACACCACUGGGUCUUUGAAAUGAAGCCAUGUUAGAUGGAUUUAGGAAUCUGACCUUCACUUUCUGAACAAUUUAAUUGUCUUCUCUCUUAUUAUCAGCCUUCAGUAGUGAACAAUAAGCAAAGAAAAAUAAUCACCAGCAAUGCAGAUGUUUCCAUUUCAUUCUUUUUUCAAUUGAGGGGAAAUUUACAACAUGGCACAAUAACAAGUUCUGGGUGUCAAGUUUUGGCUUUGCCACAAAUUGGUUGUAUGACCUUGCCAGAUAAGAGUAGAAAUCAAAUCACUUUCUCUGGGUUCAAUUUCCUCAUCUUUAAAAUGGGGGGUGGGGUAGACCAACGAAUCAUUAAGGCCUCCCUGAGCUCUGAUAUUCCAUGUUUUAAAAUCAUUUACAGAUUUUUGACUUUACAAAUCCUUGUAUAACAAGAGUCCGGCUGAGAGGAACUUCGGAAAUAACUAGAUGUUUUUUAGCUUCCUCUUAAAGGUGAAAAUACUAAAUGCAAAGAAAACAAACCUCUAUCAAGGAUUAACUUCAAUCAUCAACUUCUAGAGUACAUUUUGGGAGAAAAUGUAAGUACCACCCAGUUGUCUCUGAUAUUCUCCAUCUUCCCCCAUAGACCUCCAUAAUAGAAUAUAAAUAUUCUUCUCCAAGACUGUUUCUCAAAUUUGGUAUUUUAUCUCCCUAGUAUAUUGGUAUAGUAUAUACAUUUGCAGACACUCUUACAUACAAUUGCAGAAAAGUCAGAGAAAAUAUCCCCACUGUUACGUAACUUUCAUGGAAUCUCUGAAGAACCAGCUUUUUCCAACGCCUAGAAUGUUUGUUCUGAGGGCAAUAGUGGUACUUAUGGAGCUAGUGCCAGGGCUGACAGUGACUGGUGAAUCAUUUUCAGAUCAAGAAUUCAUAGAGCCUUAGACUGGGAAUGGAUCUUAGAAACCAUCUAGUCCAGUUCCCUUUUAUUAUAGAUGAAACAACCAAGACCCAGAGAGAAUAGGAUGUUAGAACAUAGACCUUAGAACAAGGAACAUCUAGAACUCACUUAAUCCCAUUACCUAAUUGUACUGGGAGAGAAACAGUCUCAGAAAUGAAAAAGUAGUACAUUGGGGUAGGGCCAAGCUCACCUACCGGUUCUUUUGAUUCUGACCCGUUAAUUUUUCUAGUUUCUUCCUAAAGAGAUACCUAGCCCAUAGGUAGGGCACCUGGCAUUUUUAUAUUACUGUCAAUAACGUUUUUUUUUAAUAGUAAUAUGGGUUGGACCGGAAUUUUGACUGCUAUAGGGAUCUCCUAGAUAAGGAAAGUCCCUCUUUCAACACAAGUUGGUAUCUUCUCUGAACUUUAUAAUGUUUUACAGUUUCGAGGGGCACUAGGAGGGUAAGUGACUUGCUGGGGGUCACACAGCCAAUAAAUGUCAGAGAUUUGGGGCCGGUUCUUAAUUUACUAUGCCACAUUACCUCUUGCUUUCCGAAUAGUUGCUAAAACUGGCUCUCCAAUGUCCCCCCGGGCCCCUCCUUUUCCCAUUAUGGGGGUGUGUGUGCCUGAGUAGGGGUUUCAUUCCCUGAGCUUAUAUAGCUCUAUUUAUGUCAUCGAAUUGCUGCUUUGACCUAGUCCUUCCCUGCUGACCUUCACCUUUGUUUCCCCCGAAGUGAGCGGCACCCUGCAUAUGGUCCCCAGUACUUUGGGUACCUAAGGAGAAGACAAGACUCGUCGGAAAAGACUUGAUAUUGGGAAAGAGUAAAGGCAAAGGCAUAAGGGGACGGCAGAGGGCGGGAUGAAUAGUUUCUUGGAAGAAAGGAACGUGGGCUUGGACGGACUUUGGAAGAUGGUGAGGGAUGGCGGUCCGUGGUCACGGCCGAAUAACAACAAAACUGACCCCUUCCCAGUCAAAGAUCGGGAACUGCGCCUGCUGGACUCUUCUUUCGGGUCAUCGGGAGGCAGCGAGCCGCCGGGCAGCCUCUCCUAAAGCGGACCGAGCCAAAUCGGACGCUGAUGAACUAGCCCGUCGGAGUCAGACCCGAACUCGGCCCAAGAAGCUGGAUGGGAUGGGGCGGGUCGAACCUGGCUGAGGUGAGUCUGGCACUAGCGACCCACCCGUACUGGCUGCGCGGGCCCCUUCCCCGGACCGUUCUCCUCGCCUUUCUCUCUCCCCUCCCCCCGGGAGGAGGAGACUCCGCUUCCUUGGUCCCUCCUCCCGCCGCUGCUGCUGGAAUCUCGGCUGCCCAGGCCGCCGGCUGCGCAAAGACCCCUCCGCUCUGCCUUUCCAGAGGACUGAGCCGAGCCGAGCUGAGCCGGGCCAGGCCGGGCCAGGCCGGGAGCGGAGCAAGGUGGUCCAGCAUCUGAAGACCCCCGCCUGGCCUUUCCCAGCCGGACCGUGAGGGCAUGAGCAGUGGCCAGUCACCCCGGGGAAGGACGUCUGCGGGACCCCCGCGAGGGGCGCAAUGAUCAGCCCGAGGCGCCCCCCUGCGGCUCCUCGAUCCGGCUGAGCCGAGGCGCUGGCCCCCCAGCCACGCCCGAGCCCGAGUCUUGCGCUUCGGCACCCGCACCAUGAGUCACGGGGCCGGCUCCAGGCUGGCCGACUCUCCCCAGCUCUCCAAGAGCAGCCUCCUGAACAUCCUGGGCAGCCCCUCGCCCGAGCGCAUGGGCCUGGCCGACUCCCUGCCGCCCACCCCCCAGAGCGGGACCCCCUCCCCAGGGCCCCCGCCGCUGCCCCUGCUGCCCGGAGGCUCCCCGGGGCUGGAUGGGGACUGGGAGAGCCGGGAAGAGCUCCGCCUCCGGGAGCUGGAGGAGGCCCGCGCCCGGGCAGCCCAGAUGGAGAAGACCAUGCGCUGGUGGUCAGACUGCACGGCCAAUUGGAGGGAGAAGUGGAGCAAGGUGAGGGCCGAGCGCAACAAGGCCCGGGAGGAGGUGCGGCAGCUCCGGCAGAAGCUGGAGGCCCUGACCAAGGAGCUGACCGGGGCCCGGCGGGAGCGGCAGGAGGCCCUGAACCAGAGCGAGCAGCUGGGCAAGGAGGUGGCUCGGCUCAAGGGCGCCCGGCUGCAGGAGGAGCCAGAGCAGGAGAACCGGCAGGAGAGAGCGGAGGCUCACGAAGAGCACAAGGCCAGGGGCCGCGAGAAGGAGCUGGACAACAGGGAGGCCUCCGAGAAGGAGAGCCAGGGCGGCGGCCUGGAGCAGGAGCCCGUGCGCGACGUGGGCUUCGAGAAGCCCGCCAAGAAUAAGGAGCUGGAACUGAUGGAGAACCUUCUGAAGAGCAAGCAAGAGGGGCCUGAGAAUUGGGAGGCACGAAGCAUGGGGAGUGUCCGCACGACCUUCAGCCGGCAGGAGCGAAGCCGGCUGCUCUGGGAGGAGGUAUCCACCAUUGAGGAGGAUGUCACCAAGGUGACCGCCCUGAAGCUUCGGCUGGAUGAGUCCCAGAAGGUGCUGCUCAAGGAACGCGAGGAUAAGCUGUCACUGAGCAAGAACAUUGAAAAACUGGAAGGGGAGCUCAGCCAGUGGAAGAUCAAAUACGAGGAGCUAAGCAAAAACAAGCAGGAGGUGCUAAAGCAGCUCAACAUCCUUAAAGAGAUGCACCAGGAUGAAUUGGGCCGCAUGUCAGAGGACCUGGAAGAUGAACUCGGGGCUCGGUCCAGCAUGGACAAAAAGAUAGCAGAACUUCGGAGUGAGAUGGAGCGUCUGCAGGCAGAGAACGCCGCUGAGUGGGGCCGUCGAGAGCGGCUUGAGACAGAGAAGUUAAAUCUCGAGAGGGAAAACAAGAAGCUUCGAGCACAGAUUGAGGACCUGGAGGAGGUGCUGGCCCGAAAGCGGCGUCAGACAGCCAGCGCCCUGGAUUCGGACCUCAAGGCCAUUCAGGCCGAGCUCUUUGAGAAGAACAAGGAGCUGGCAGACCUCAAGCAUGUGCACACCAAGCUGAAGAAGCAGUACCAGGAGAAGAUGGCAGAACUGGCCCACGCCAACCGUCGGGUGGAGCAGCACGAGGGGGAGGUCAAGAAGCUGAGGCUGCGCGUGGAAGAACUGAAGAAGGAGCUGGCCCAAGCCGAAGACGAGCUGGAUGAAGCCCAUAAUCAGGCUCGGAAGCUGCAGAGGUCUCUGGAUGAGCAGACAGAGCACGGUGAAAACCUUCAAGUACAGCUGGAGCAUCUGCAGUCAAGGCUCCGCCGGCAGCAGAACGCCCCCCUCUUUGGGAAGAUCCGGAGUUCUCGGUUUGGAGCUGAAGAAGCUGGGGAUGGUACGAGUGACCUGGAUGAGGAUGAAGACCUCCAGAUCCAAGUCCCUUAGGGCCGGGAAGGAGGAGGGAGGGUGCAGCCUGCAUCGAGGACCAUUUUUGGGCCUUCUCUGGGAGUCGCGGCUGGUCUUUUUUCACAUGGACGGCCCGGGGCUGCGAGCCGUGGGACAAAGUGGGACAGAGCUGCUUGAAACCUGGCCCUCACCAGCCUGAGAUAGGUGCACCCCGCUCGGGUCGGGCUGAGGCCAUCCAGUGGACCCCCAUGGCCAGAGUUCAUGCCCCUUGUCCCCCAGCCAAUUCCUCCUGCUCCCCUUUGUGCCUCUGCUUUCUCCCCUGGCCUCCACCCUACCCUCAACUUUCUGCAAAGUCAACAAGGACACACUAAAAAUAAGAUAAUGACUUUAUUGGGCCACUAAAGAGCAAAGUGGGAGCUGAGGUCAACCACAGUCCUGCCUAUCCAAGUCCCUGAAAAGGAUAAAUCAUCCCAAUUCCUUUUACUUCUCCUCCAGGGUAUUUUUUCCCAACCUCUGACCAAUUCCAUCCUUCUCUGCACUGUCUCCAGCUUCCCCGCAUUUCUCUGUGAACAUUAAUUUUUUUAUGGAUGAUCAAAUCCGGAUGGAGGAGAGGAACUGGCCACACGACGAAUUUGAUGACCAUAAAGCAAGGGGGCCAGCUGCAGACAUCAGAAUGAGGGGAGGUGGUUGCAGGGAUAGGGGAUAGGUAAUGUUUUCAGCAAACUUAAACCUUGCACCAACUUUCAGGACACCAAGAUGGAGUGGGGCUCUCCUCUGGUGAAGGGAAUGGCUUCCUGGCACCUGCCCAAGAUCAUCUCCUCGCUUGAAGCUUGGAAGGUCAGCAGAGAUAUAGUCUCUGGAAACAUCUCCCUAAGCCUGAUGGGAAGGACAAUAGGAAGGUGUAGGCUAGGGCAUGGUAAUAACUAUGGUUCUGGAAAAACAGCAUGGCACGGGGAAAGGACUUGGAAGAAAAUGAUGAGACUUUUAUCGUAGGCUUUCCCUGUGUGACCUUGAACAGACCACUGCCCCUUCCCAAGCCUGUUACCUCUUCUGUAAAAUGAGGACCUUGGACUAGAGGCUCUCUUAAGUCCCUUUCAGCUCUGACAGUCGAUGACCAUUUGUGCAAUC